rnacentral:antisense_RNA from 1 species
AUCUGAGCAUUGAGAAUGUUCUAUCUAAAUUUGUACAGUGUGAUUUUUUUUUUUAGAAUAAAUAUUUUAUAAAAGGGUUUAUUGUCCCUUGUUUAUGUUAAAAUGCUCGUUUCCAUGAGGGAUUUCUUCCCUCAAUGUCCCUCAGCCCCUUGGGAACCAGAGGCCCCAGAGACAGUGUGGGCUCCUCAGUGUAGCCUCUUGGUGACAGCAUGCGCUGCCUGGACAGGCACAGUGCUGCUGUGAUCACAGGGGAGGCCGUGACUUGGCACGUGGGAAGCCAGCUCAGAGCAUAUUCAGUCAGGGCGAUGAGGGAUGGCGGCCCAACCUCAGCAGCAGGUCGGCGUGCAGGACUCUCAGAAUGGCGGCCCAACCUCAGCAGCGGGUCGGCGUGCCAGACUCUCGGAGCCCUCAGCUGUGUUCAUGUGUUUCAGGACUGCUGCCAUGUAACGUGUGUGUGUGGAGCGUGUGCAGAGUAUGCCCGAAGCAUUCCCGGAGGCUUAGCAUGAAGCACUCUGUGCCCAGCUCUACCUCCUCAUUGUCCUUCAUCCAGUGUGUACCAUGGGCCAGGCCUGCCCUCGUGUGGGGGGGACAGUCCCCAAGGAGCACACGCCAUGAUGUCAGAAACAUCUUCUUCGAAGAAGAUGGCCCUUUACAGGCCCCAGGGGAUGGGGGCAGCACGGAGCCCUCUCUGGGCCUCUGCCCCAGGCCACAGAACCUUCUCCAGCCCUUGACUCUCCUUGCCUUUCAUUUACCCUCCAUUGUUCUAGGCUACCACGGAAUGAUGAUUACAGCUGAGUUUAACCAAAUCCCACCUCAGGGUCAAAUGAAAGGGCCUUGACAAGCUGUCCCUUGGCAGCUUGAGAUCGCAGUUGUGUUGCUGGGUUUUGGCCUGGGUGCAGGCUGGUUUGCAGUGGGCGGUACUGGCAGCUGCCAUCAAGGUCUCUGUGCUGGGCUUCAGCCCUCAGCCCAGAGGGGCGGUUCCCCACUUUAUAGAGAGGGGGUUUCCAGCUCAGAGAAGGUGAGAAGCUUGUCCAAGGCCUGGAGCAGUUGUGGAGAAACUGGGAGGGAAUCCCGUCCAGCCUGAUUCGAAGCCCUCAUGCUGCUCACAGGUCAAGGCCGAGGGGCUGGUUUUUGCCAGUCUGACUGGACUUAAGUUACUUCCCAGUUCCUUGCAGAGAGCUGUCUUUGUGAGACGGUGUCUUGAGUUCUGGAAUGAUGGGAGCCGUGCUUUGCAAAUGAGGAGUGAUUGCGUGCUCAUCUGGCAGCUGGUGGGUGUCCUGCUGGCGUCAGGCCUGAGCGGUGACCGUGCUCCUCUGAUUGUCCUCACUGCGCGUGACAAGGCCUGGGCCACUGUGUGAGUCGUCUUGCGCUCCCUGAAGCCUGGUGUCUGUGCAGAUGUGUGGGUGGCGUUAGGGUUGGGGGACAUUUGUCUUUCACACUGGAGAAUGGGAGUCUGGAGCUGGUGCUACUGGUGAGGAAGAGGCCCGGCCUGCUGCCAGGUUCGCCCACGCCUUCCCCCUGGUUGUUGGGAAAACCAACCUUGGAAUGGCCAAGGCAGGAGAUAGCACCUCCCCGGUGAAGAUCCAGCAUUGCGUGAGCUCCACGUGGAAAGAUCAAGGAUCUGGAGUCUGGAGCCCUUCAGGCAGCAACUCAAUGACCAAGAACCUCAGCUCUGUCCACCCCAGUGCAGCGUUGCUGGGAGCUGGACCCAGGAGCUGCCGGCUCCAGAGUGAGGAGGGUCCAGACCACACAGACAAUAUGCCCUUUUUCUCCAAACACCAUUUCAAGCAAACCCGCAGGUCUCCUCCACGGCUGUCAGCAGCUUCUCGUAGAGCUUCUCAUAGGACUCAUAUGGUGGAAUGUCGAUCCGGUUAAAGCUGAAAAAGGACAAAAGAGAGUCACCGUGUGGGCAGUCCAGCCCUAGGACCAACCUCAAGGCCAAGGACAGGCAAGACAGGGUCUCGCUAGGUUGCCCAGGCUGCUCUCAAACUCCUGGCCUCAAGUGAACCUCCUGCCUUGCCCUCUCAACGUGCUGGGAGCCACUGUGCCCAAUCAACACACAGUAAAGGGGAAGCUCAUUUCCAGUAUUUGUGCAAAGAAAAAGACAUCCUUUAAGAAGCUAUCGUAGCAAACCAAAAAAUACAAAAUUGUGACCCAGAGGAUGUACGGUGACUUCUGGCUUUCUAGGGUGCUGUGGCUUUUGAGUUCUGAUGACGACAAAAAUAUUUUGGCAGAGACUCCAUCUCAGAAAAAAACAACAAAAAAAAAAACGUGAACGUCGGCAUCCUCUGGGGCUCCCAGGACGCCGUGACUUCCUGGCCGCGGUGCUUACCAGCACACAUUUCAGAAAAACAUCCCAGCCACCUUCCAGCUUAUCCUGCCCACAGCCCACAUAGACGCGUCAUCGAAUAGCCCCGCCUCCACGUCAGUCACCUUGCAAAGCCUUGAAGCCUUGGAGCGGGACUCGCGUGGACCCAGUCACAAACUGCAGGAGCCUGGCCCUCCUUUCUUCAUCGAACGUCUCCACUGCUUGCCAGAACCACCGCACGAUGUUGCUGUCGGCCACACAGUGCUUCAGCCGCGUGUUCGACUUCCAGUCGUUCAAGUCUAUUUUAUCCAGGCCGCCUAUGAUCAGCUGAGGAGGUGCAGAAAGGUGAGUUACUUCCAAAAUGUAUAAACCCACGUCAGGACGUGCCUCCUAGGUACCCGACACACACAACAGUGAAAAGUCAAUUCCCAAGCAAAGCAGCGGCUGUGUCUAAAUAAACUAGGCAGACGUUGAGACAGAAGAAAGCUACCAACAGGAGGCCUGUGGCACAUGCUUCUGUCCGCCUCCUCCAGGCAGGUCUCCAGCCCCAAGGACCAUGGUGCACAGCUAUUGAUGGGACGUUUUCUUAUAACCAAAGCAGGGUUUUUGCUCUGCAUCGGUGAGGAGUAUCAAAGAACCAACCGGUGACACUGUACAGAGCUAACCGUGAAUAAGGGCACGUCCCAGGGUCUCUCCAGGACACUCAAGGACAUGUGGAGUUUCAAGUCUGAAGAGAGGAGAAUUCAGCAAGAGUUAUGUGGGGCUGGGGCCGAUGGGGCGUGUUUCCGCAAUUGGCUUAAAAAGUUCACCCCCUGCUGGGUGCAGUGUCUCACGCCUGUAGUCCCAGCACUUUGUGGGGCCCGAAGUUGGGCAGAUCACUUGAGCCCAGGAGUUCAAGGCCAGCCUGGGCAACAUGGCGAAACCCCGUCUCUACAACAAAUACAAAAAUUAGCCAGGCAUGAUGACAUGCACCUGUAGCCUCAGCUAUUCGGGAGGCUGAGGUGGGAGGAUGGCUUCAGCCUGGGAGGUCGAGGCUGCAGUGAGCCAUGAUUGCACCACUGCACUCCAGCCUGAGCAACAGAGCGAGACUCUGUCUC